UCGCGCCUCCUUGGUUAGUCCCUCCUCAUCCUUUUCUCCUCUGCAUGAAUCGUCUUCCUCACUCGGUCGUCAUUGGUGCACUGCUCACAAAGCUUCGUGUUACUUCAUGUCCGCAGACUGCGUUGCUGUAGGCUAGGAGAGGAUCCAAGAGAUGGUCUACUGGCAGGAUGUGCCUCAACCAGUAAUGCCAUUUCCUCUCUUGUCCACAAAGCUAUUAUUGCCAUAUCACUCAAGCAUAGUUCAAUCUGGGACUCAUUUCACUUUGCAGUAUGAUUACAAUAGUUGUGGUUCCAAGAGUUUGUAGUAAGAUUAGGCUGCUAUCUAUGGUAUAGUAACAAAUGUUUUCAGAGUAUAUGCUUGUUUUCAUCUAUAGUUGGUGUAUGCGUUUGCUGGCAAGAGAUUAAAGGAUAUGCUUGUUUUGUAUUAUUGAUCCAUGACAUAUAGUAAUUCAUAUGAUUCGCUAACAAAACUUGCAGGAGUAAAUCAUUCUAAAUGUUUGUUCUUGUUUACCAAACUUCUUAGCUAGGAUAGAAAAUGAGAAGCCCAUUGUAUGUCCAUUGUAAACAUCCCCAUAAUUCUUAGAUAGAAUGGUCGUGGUGAUGUGCUCCUCUAUUAGUUUAUUACUUGGAUAAAUCGUAUGAGAAUGGAUGCAUGAAUUUUUUUGAUUCUAAGCUUUUAAUGGUUCAAUGCUCGUCAAAUGCAAAAGUUCUUCAGUUCAUUGUGUAUCUUCUGUGUGUUGGAGUUAGUGGGUUAGUGGUAGGGCUUUAGCCAACUUUAUAUUCUUAACUCUUGUACUGGAUGGCUUCCGGGUCUAUCUCUAUGGAUGAACUCGAUAGUUCAUAUAGAAUGGUUAAUAUUCAAUGUGAAGUGUUAGAAAAUUUCUUUAUUUCGGUUCAGCACUAUGUGCAAAUGUUUAACAUUUCCUCAAGGGCGCAUAUUUUCUAAACAACCGUAUGCUUCAUUCAUUGAUACUUUAAAAAUGAUAUAUUUGAUUGAAUGCAUUCUCUUUUUUUCUGUGGACAUAAUUGCUAUUUCCCUUUUUUGUGGACAUAUUUGAUAUUUGGCUCACAAAAAUAAAAGGAAAAUCUUAUAAGUUGUCAUGCUUGCCUCAAAUGUAGGAAUAUCAUUUAAAACCCGUCUAUACUAUUGUGCUCUCUUUACGUUCGAAUUAAUUACACAUCCUUGUUUACAAGAAGUGCCUAGCAUGUCUGUGUUUAGUUUGAGCUUCUUGGUUGCAAGAAGGCAACGCUGAAAAGCUCAUAUGUUAUUGCUUCCAUAAUUAUAUAUGCCUCAUAUGUGUUUGCUGUUAUGCAUUUUUCAUGUUAUAUAUGCCUCACUGUCACUAUAAUGUGCUAAUUAUUGUACCUUAAUUUGUGUCUGCAGGAUCCAACUGAAUAAUUCAGGCCAUGUUUUCUUCUUCUCCGACUCCUCACAAAUUAACCAUAGUCUCCUCUCAGAAAAAUCGUAGCCACAAUAAAAAUUGAGGUGUUGUGGCCAUUGAUUUUUUUUUUAAUUCCCAGAUAUGUGAAGUCCAUUUAGUAUUAAUCAGAGUUGGUUACCACACAUACUUAUUAGAGUUGACACUGCUUAUUAGUGAGUGUGUAAUGCCUUAGCAGCAAGGAAUUUUAUUAUAUGUACAUAUGUGAUUUUGCCUGUUAUAUUCCGAAGAAAACAUCUAUACGGUGUUGUUAGUCCCAUGUGCUAGUUUGUUACCCUGCUACUACAGACUAGUGCAAGCAAACUUUUAUUUUUUAGAUCAGUGCAUAUAGUAAUCACGAAGUGAAUAUGCAAGUGACGUGCUUGUUUCCAAAUUGCUAGUACAGUAGUGCCAUUCCAGAACUACUACAAUAUUUAUAAUUCUUUGGCAGCAAAGACCAUAUUUUUUUGCAUUACUUCCUGAUAGUUACACACAAUCAAUACUUUCUGACUUAGUACUAGUCAUCGUGAAUGUUGAGUAGUAAACUGUACCCUCGUGCAUUAUUUUUGCAACAUGGUUAAUAUUUUGAACUACUGUCUAAGGAGGAAUACUUGUAAUUAUAUCAGUCUAUAUACAAACCUGAGAAUUCUGAAUACAAAUUCAUGGAAUAUUCAGUGUGCUAUUUACUGGAAAUUAUUUAUCUUGUAAUAAAAUUAUUAUGUAUGUUUUUUUGAAACUAAUGUUUGAUUGUUCCAAAUGCACAGGAUGUUUUGCAAUCCAGAAGUAGAGGGAAGAAGCUGUGUUUUUCAUUUGUAGUUCCAUGUGAUCAACCAAGUAUUAUAUGAACUAUUUUGUCGUCCACUUGUUGUCCUUGAUGUGUAGAGGAGUUGAGGGAUGAUGUAUAUUAUUUUCUUUGAUAGCUAUUGCUGAAAUGAAGAUAUAUUUUAUGUGGAAUAUGUUUGUAUUGUAUUUAAUUAGUAGAUGGGUCUAUCUUACAAACGUGAAGCACUUAUUUAUCUGGACGUUGUAAAAACAAGGCCCAAUUAAUUAGAAAAACUAUCAAAUAACUGGGCUGAACUGGGCCAAACAAUUGGGC
rnacentral:lncRNA from 1 species